rnacentral:rRNA from 1 species
CAGUAGCCACGGGAAUACGAAUGGUGCAAGCGUUAAUCGGAAUUACUGGGCGUAAAGCGUGCGUAGGCGGUGAGUUAAGUCUGCUGUGAAAUCCCCGGGCUCAACCUGGGAAUGGCAGUGGAUACUGGCUCGCUAGAGUGUGUCAGAGGAUGGUGGAAUUCCCGGUGUAGCGGUGAAAUGCGUAGAGAUCGGGAGGAACAUCAGUGGCGAAGGCGGCCAUCUGGGACAACACUGACGCUGAGGCACGAAAGCGUGGGGAGCAAACAGGAUUAGAUACCCCCGUAGUCCCUGUCUCUUAUAC